UCGAGAAUUUUUCUCAAUGGGGGAAACCCUGAAGGAGCGACGCCGCGUGGGGGAUGAAGGGCUUCGGCUCGUAAACCCCUGUCAUUUGUGAGCAAGUGUUAUUGUUUAAGAGAUGAUGACAUUGAUAGUAGCAAAAGAGGAAGGGACGGCUAACUCUGUGCCAGCAGCCGCGGUAAUACAGAGGUCCCAAGCGUUGUUCGGAAUCACUGGGCGUAAAGGGUGCGUAGGCGGUAUAGUAAGACUUGGGUGAAAUCUCCAGGCUUAACGUGGAGGGAGCCUGGGAGACUGCUGGGCUAGAGGAUUGGAAGGGAGACUGGAAUUCUUGGAGUAGCAGUGAAAUGCGUAGAUAUCAAGAGGAACACCAGUGGCGAAGGCGAGUCUCUGGACAAGACCUGACGCUGAGGCACGAAGGCCAGGGGAUCAAACG
rnacentral:rRNA from 1 species